AUGACUAAACCAAAGAAAGAUGGGGGAAUGGGGUUCAGGGAUAUAUACGGUUUUAAUAUGGCAAUGCUUUCCCGGUAGGCGUGGCGACUGUUAAUUAUCCCUGACUCCCUGUGUGCUCGCGUACUGAAGGCGCAUUACUACCCAAACUAUUCGGUCUUGGAAGCUGAGCCUCGCCCGGGUAUCUCAUACACAUGGCGCAGCAUACUGAAAGGGGUGGAGCUUCUUAAGGAAGGGCUGAUCUACAGAAUCGGUGAUGGCACUUCAGUAAAAAUUUAG
rnacentral:rRNA from 1 species